UGCGUCAGCGCAGCAUUGUAAUGAGUAGCAAACAUCAAUAGGGACUACUAGUUGUUUUAUGUCAGAAGAUAAUUCGCAAAUGGCCAGUAUUGAUGCACCAACUGGAGUAAUCAUGUCUGUGGCACUCGAUCUCUGAACUGCUAUACUGUAC